UUAUUUUGAGGGAGAAUUUUUCAUUCUGAUGAAACACAAAAAGAAAAUAGAACUCUCUCAACCUCUCUCUCACACAAAAUUUCUCUAUAAUCUUCUCUUUCACUUUUCUAAAAUGAAAGCAAGAUCCCACGAUCUUAUUCUUUGUUAGAGAAUAACAAGGUUUCCUCGUGUUAGUUUAUAUAUCGUUUGGGUUCUUGGAAGAAGAUUUGAGUUCGUGUUGUUCUAGUUCGUAGAAGGAAAUUCCAAGAAAAAAAUAUUCAAGGUUGUCAAAACGAAUUUAAAGACACGCAUUCACGCGCUUCUAUUGAGGAAUUCAAUUCCUUCAAAAUAUGUGUCAAACUACAAUUAAUCAGAUUGUGUGGUGGUAUAAUAUAUAUUAUUUGGCUUCGCUUUGAGCUUUUGGUAGCCCUUAGCAUAUUGGAGAGGUUUUUUAAAAUUUUGAUAGAUCUUAGGCAUUUGAUAUAGAUUUGAAAUACAUUGUGUAACCCUAAAAGAUCAAAGAUUAAAAUAUAUAAAAUUUAAACCCCUAUUAAAUUGGUGAUGUUGAUUUAACAUAUUAUAUUAUAUAUACCUAUAUAAUUGCUCUCUCUAUAUAUAUACACAUAUAUACAUACAUACAUAAGUUAUUUUUAUUAGAAUAUAUAAGUUUGAAGUUGCAUGGUUUUAGAGAUGGAAGUUGGAUUUAUCUCUAUUUUAAAAAUUAGAAAGGAGAAGAAGAUAAUUUCUAUCCAUACUCGAAAUAGGGAUCUUCAUUGCCACACACCAAGAUAAGCAAGGAAAAAAAAAAGAGAGAGAGAGAGAAAUGAUACCCUUGGUUUGUACUUUUGUGAAAUAAAUACAUUCAAUUUCAAAGCGAAUA